rnacentral:lncRNA from 1 species
CUCAAUGGCACUUAACCACUGAGUCACAUCCCCAGCCCUUAUUUGUAUUUUAUUUAGAGACAGGGUCUCACUGAGUUGCUUAGGGUCUCACUAAGUUGCUGAGGCUGGCUUUGAACUUGCAAUCUUCCUGCCUCAGCUUCCUGAGCUCCUGGGAUUAUCGGUUUGCAUCACUGUGUCUGGCUGCCUUUAUAUGUUUUUGACUGCAUAAAUAAAUCCUUUAUCUAUCACCACUUAACAACCAACCCCAAAACUUAAUAGCAUUCAAUAACACCAUUCUAUUUGCUCACAGUUCUGUAGGGCAGCAGUUUGGGCUGGGUUUAACUGAUGGUUUGUCUCUAUUGAGUUCAUCUGGGAUCACUCAUGCAUCUGCAGUCACCUGACAGUCAAUUGCCUCCUUCACACAUUUGGCAGUUACCGUGGCUGAUGCCUGGACCUCUGGAAGCUAAUAGUCCUGCUUAUUUGCAUAUUAGUCUCAGGCUGCAAAAAAUGAAUAAGUCCUAAGACAUAAGCAUUUUUCUUUUCUUUGUAUCAUGUUUGCUAAGAAAAAUAUUUCAUCUCUUAAUGGGAGGAGCAUCUGCACAGCUAAUAAACCUAAAUUUUCAAAUACCUCUUAGACUCAAAAGUUUUAACUUAAUGUUUCCUUCCUUUUGCCAAUGUUUAAAAAUUGUAGCUACAUCUUAUCUCAAAAAAAUCACUUAGCCUGCUUUACUCAUUUACAUUUUCUACCUGGCCUGUUGCAUUUGA